UGACCACAGUCAGACGGGCUGUUCGGCCGUGAGGCUCCCAGAGGAGCGAGCCAAGCACCCAGGCAGUCAUUUGACGUGGCAGAGAGAGCAGCAGUGGAGAGAGGAGGUAAACACCAGUGGGGAGCAAAGGCAGGGUGGAGCAAAAGAAGAACACCUGUGUGUGUGUGUGUGUGUGUGUGUGUGUGUGUGUGUGUGCGUGUAUGUGUGUGUGUGUGUGUAUUAUGCACCCCCUCCUCUCCCUGCAGGUGUGUGUGACAUGUUGGAGCAGGUAAAACAAGAGAAGCAUUUCAAAGGGCUCCCACUGCAGCACUACUGACUCGAUUCAAACGGACAAGCAACGCAUUGAGGCCGGUGGAGGGAGCUCAGGAUUAAAGGCAGACAGCGGCGGGGCCCGGAGUCAGCAGCAGAGGUCUGGAUCAACGUCCAUGGAAAUUCUUCCUCAGUGCUUCUCAAAACAGGAGGGUGUGGUCUGAUGGAUGUGUGUGUGUCUGUGUGCACGGUCUGGGAAAAAAAUAAAAAAAUCCUGAUUUAAAAGUGAGUUGGUUUGAACUUAGAAGACCUUACUGGUGGUUUUGGGCGCAGCAGUACAUUACCAUAAAGGAUCAAAUAGUGCCUUUAUUUACCUCAACUACAGAGACACAGACCUUUAUUGGAGACUGAACUAGAGACAC